rnacentral:rRNA from 1 species
UACGAAGGGGGCUAGCGUUGUUCGGAAUCACUGGGCGUAAAGGGCGCGUAGGCGGCCGUUCAAGUCGGGGGUGAAAGCCUGUGGCUCAACCACAGAAUUGCCUUCGAUACUGGGACGCUUGAGUAUGGUAGAGGUUGGUGGAACUGCGAGUGUAGAGGUGAAAUUCGUAGAUAUUCGCAAGAACACCGGUGGCGAAGGCGGCCAACUGGACCAUUACUGACGCUGAGGCGCGAAAGCGUGGGGAGCGAACAGG